UUUGCAUCUGAGCUUCCGAGGAUUUGAACCUCCGGGGGCAGGAGGUUCGGGUCGAGCAUAGCGAGACAACGUUGCGCAGCAACGGCCCGCAGCGGCGAGUCAUCUUCAGAGUGGUUCAG
rnacentral:sRNA from 1 species